CAAUAGCGUAUAUUAAAGUUGUUGCAGUUAAAAAGCUCGUAGUUGGACUUGGACCUGGUCAGGCGGUCCGCCUCACGGCGAGUACUGUCUUGCUGGGUCUUUCCUCUUGGUGAUCUGUUGUUUCGGCAGCAGGGAACCAGGACCUUUACUUUGAAAAAAUUAGAGUGUUCAAAGCAGGCUCGACGCCGGAAUAUAUUAGCAUGGAAUAAUAAAAUAGGGCGUGCGGUUCUAUUUUGUUGGUUUUUGGAAUCGCCGUAAUGAUUAAUAGGGACAGUCGGGGGCAUUAGUACUCACAUGCUAGAGGUGAAAUUCUUGGAUUUUGUGAGGACUAACUUCUGCGAAANCANNNGCCAAGGAUGUUUUCAUNAA
rnacentral:rRNA from 1 species